AUUGAACGCUGGCGGCAUGCCUUACACAUGCAAGUCGAACGGUAACAGGUCUUCGGAUGCUGACGAGUGGCGAACGGGUGAGUAAUACAUCGGAACGUGCCCGAUCGUGGGGGAUAACGAAGCGAAAGCUUUGCUAAUACCGCAUAAGAUCUAAGGAUGAAAGCAGGGGACCGCAAGGCCUUGCGCGAACGGAGCGGCCGAUGGCAGAUUAGGUAGUUGGUGGGAUAAAAGCUUACCAAGCCGACGAUCUGUAGCUGGUCUGAGAGGACGACCAGCCACACUGGGACUGAGACACGGCCCAGACUCCGACGGGAGGCAGCAGUGGGGAAUUUUGGACAAUGGGCGAAGGCCUGAUCCAGCCAUGCCGCGUGCAGGAUGAAGGCCUUCGGGUUGUAAACUGCUUUUGUACGGAACGAAAAGACUCUUUCUAAUAAAGAGGGUCCAUGACGGUACCGUAAGAAUAAGCACCGGCUAACUACGUGCCAGCCGCCGCAGUAA
rnacentral:rRNA from 1 species